ensembl:lncRNA
ACUAGUGCUUGUAUUUAUGAUUUUUCCGCUUUUUCAAUUACAAUCAUCUUAAAAUUGCUGUAAUUGCUCAUUGUUGCAUUUGGUGUGAUGCUCCAUGCCAUGCUUAACUCCUCAAUUUGCCGCUGGAGUGCUUGGCCCCGCAAUUGCUGCUUGUUAGGGGCCAAGCACCGAAGGUGCGUAGGCACCUAUUGUAUCCGUUGGCGUUAUUAUUAUUCUUCUUCUUCUUCUUCUUCUUCUUCCGCCGCAAGUCUAUGGCAGCCCAUAGAACCGAUUGCGGGAAAGUUGUAUAAUUUGGCACACUGAUAGAGGACAGUCCCAGCAUUAACUGUAGCAAAUUUGAAGUCUCUAUCUCCUACUCUCUAGCGCCACCACUUGUCCAAAGUUUCAAUAUUUUUAUGCUAAUAACUUUUGAACCGUACGCCACAAAAUGAAAAUUCUUUUUUCUUCUGAAUCCUUGGCUCAGGCCAAGUCGAAUAAACCCCGAAAUUCAAAAAUCGCAAGGUUUAGUUUUUUUCGCUAUUUUCAAUUGUUCGAAAAACCUACUUUUUCGAACUCGUCCUAGACGGUUAGUCCGAUUUUCACGAAAAUUGGCUCAGAUCAUCUUCAGACCAUGCUGGCAAAAAGUUAUGGAAUUCAAGUUGAUUCGUCCAACCGUUCUCGAAUACCACGCGAACAAAUUCUACGAAAAGCACGCAAAAAUGCUUGUGAGGCUAUAACUCCGCAACGGUUUGGCAUAUUGAGACCAAACUUGGUGUGUGUUAUAAUAAGCAUGACCUGAGACUACCUGCAGUGUUUCGACGUAGUGCCACCUAGUGGUCAGGAGAUAUGAAAAAUGCAUAUUUUUGCUUAUAACUUCUGAAUGGUUUGACCAAAAAUCACAAAACUAGUCUCUUUGUAUUCGGUGGGUCAUGCCGAGUCGAAUGAUAUCCAAUUUUCCCGUGUCAUCCAUUUUAGGUGUCGGCCAUUUUGAAUUAUGUUUCAAAAUGCUGUAUUUUUUGAAUGCAUUAUCGUAUCGCUACGAAAAUAAUUACAAAAAUGUUUGGCUCCAUGCCCUGAAGCUACUCAAAAAGUUUGGUGGCAGCGCCACCUUGUGGUCAACAGUUAUAAUGAAAUAUCUUAAAAAUGCUAAUAACUUUUGAAAAAAUUAGACUAUUGCAAUGAAAGUCAUGUCGAUAUAUUCUUUGGGUGAUGCUGAGAACAUCGAUACCAAUUAUUCCAAAAUUGGCCAUACUUCCUGUCGGCCAUUUUGAUUAAAGUUGAAAACCUACUUUUUCGAACUCCUCCUAGACCGUUAGUCCGAUUUUCACCAAAUUUGGUUCAGAUCAUCUUCAGACCAAGCUGACAAAAAGUUAUGGAUUUUGUGUUGAUAUACAAAACGGUUUUCGUUUAGCGCAUCAACGAAUUUGUUCGUAAGAUGCCAAAAUACAUCUGA